AGCAGAGGAACCCCAUCAAACUUGGAUUUUGUAAGUAGUUGCGAAUGAACACAAAUUUGAUCACUUUGGCAAUCUGUACACAUUGCUGUGUAACAAUUUGUAUACGUUGGCACAGUGCUAUCAAAGCUGCAUGCAAGUGUUUUUUGAAAGGAUACAACAUGGGAUGUGAUAUUCAUGUGUGUGUGCCUGCUUUGUCCACAGCCUGUGCUGUAUGAAUCACAUUUCUUGCAACUGAAAUGCUAAUGGCAUGGUAAAGUUCAUGUGACAUGACACAAGCUUGAGAUUCAUGAUGUGCAAGUACCAUGAGGGAAAUGUGAAAAGGACUUUGRAAAGAGAAUUAAAUAAAGCCUGCAUUUGCUGACAAUGAAAGCAAGUGUGGAUGUUCAUGUAAUUGUUACUGCAUCAAUCAAUGUUCAUCUUGGUUACUGCAUGCUUUAUAUUACAGCUCAGAACAUGAAGUGUGUGUAACAGCUCUGCUUUGAUUUUUCCCACAUGGGAUCAGUUGAAACAUUGUGAGAGCACUCUUCAGUUUCCUUAUGUACCCACCAGCUUUGUCCACUCGCGUGUUGGCACACAUGUAAUGAUGAUGUGUUUAUGCAAGAUACUUCUGUGCUCAACAACAUGUUGUGUCAAUCCUCACUUGACCC
rnacentral:rRNA from 1 species